GACAGAGGGUGCAAGCGUUGUUCGGAAUUAUUGGGCGUAAAGGGCGCGUAGGCGGCCAUUCAAGUCAGAUGUGAAAUCCCAGGGCUCAACCCUGGAAGUGCAUCUGAUACUGCUUGGCUUGAGUCCUGGAGAGGGUGGUGGAAUUCCCAGUGUAGAGGUGAAAUUCGUAGAUAUUGGGAGGAACACCGGUGGCGAAGGCGACCACCUGGACAGAGACUGACGCUGAGGCGCGAAAGCGUGGGGAGCGAACAGG
rnacentral:rRNA from 1 species